CUACUGUUCACCUCCUGCUGUACAGCCCAGUUCCUAACAGGGCACGGACUGGUCCUGGUCCACAGCCUGGGGGUUGGGGACCUCUGGACAGGAUAUAGAUGGAGCACCAACAGCACCCAUUACAGGUAUAUCCCCAUUUUACAGAUGAAGAAACUGAGGUGCAGAGAAGCGAAGUGACUCACCCGGGGUCUGGACAUGUUACUGAGAGCUGGUACAUGAAGCUAGGAAUUUGGGACCCAGAUAAGCAGCCUCCAGAUCAUCUCCUUUGCCACCUGGCAUGCAAGAGGCCCAAUCAAUAUUUGUGAACUAAAUGAAGAAAUGAAUGAUUUAGUGUCUGACUCAUUUCCUGAUCAGGCAACCCAUCUUUCAUUCCUGCCACCUAGAGCCAAAGGAGAAAACAGAGACAUCUUUUCAUGUUUUUCCAGAGACUCAAAGAAUUUGAUGUCUUAUUGUUCUUGGUAACUUCAUAAAGUCUUAACAUCCCUUGAUUAUUGAACACUUUUGUGUCUGCUAAAUUGUUUGAAACACAGAAUCCCGUUCUCUAUAUUGACUUCAUAAUAUAAGAGAUGUGUCCAACUGGUAAAAAGAAAUGUUAAAAGAAUAAAAUGCUCAGUGGUGCAGUU